UAUAAACAACUAGAGGCUCUUAAGAGCCUGUGUCGCUCACCUUGGUCUAUAUGAAUACCAAACAAAGAACACAGAUCGUCAGAUGGAUUCAUGACAAAAUUGUGUUUUUGUGAUGGUGAUGUGUUUGGAGAUCUUGCUUUACUGAACAAUCUUGUUACUUACAAUUUUGUCUAUCUAUAAUGCACUUGGCCCUUUAGUUCCAGAGGAAAAUAUUUUGUAAAAACUAAUGAAAAUUGUUAAAAAUUGACUAUAAAGGGCAAUAACUCCUUAAGAUGUCAACUGAACAUUUUGAUCAUGUUUGACUUCUUUGUAGAUC
rnacentral:lncRNA from 1 species